rnacentral:lncRNA from 1 species
GCAAAAGGGAAGUAGACAUCAGAAAAACUCAAGAAUAUGGUAGGUGUUCUUCUGAAUCUUCCACCAUAGGAACACGCGCACGCCGGACUUCCUCUACCAUUAGGGUGGCUUGGGUGUGUAGGCAUGUCCCUUCCGCGCCGGCCUCCACAAGGACAGUAUGCACCGCUUCUCCUCCUGCCCUCGCAUCGCACGCUUCUAGAGCACGCCUUGCCCUGGGGCCGUUGUCGUUGACUUCGUCGCCUCCAUGAUCGACGUCUUCCGCUCCAUCACGCAGCCUGUCGCCGACAUCACCGUCGCCGUGGCGGCGCACCUCGCCCUCUGGAUCUACUGUGCUCCGCGACUCCUGGACACCUGGUGCACUGCACUCCUUGUGUCGCAGCCGCCCUGCAUGAUGCUCCCAUUUAAUCACUCGCCCGCUGCUCAAUC